AGCAAGUUGUGCGUCGGCAUCAUAUUUUCUAACUUUUAUUGUAGUGAGACAUAAAAUUAGAGAAUCAGCAGCCAAAACAAUGAUUAAUGCUUAUGGCAAUAAUUUGUUUUCUUUUGAAAGCAAGGUUCGCCGUACCGGUACCGAACCCCAUACCGGUGCCGCACUAGUAUAAACGUACCGAGUGUCGGUACGGUACGGUAUGCUCGGUACCGACCGUACCGACAUUGGUGUACCGAUAUCGGUACCCAUCGGUACGGGUACGGUACGCUCGGUACCGACCGGUACUGACCGGUACAGCGAACCUUGCUACUAACUAAGUAGAGUUCUUCACCUACCUAUGUGCAUUUGCGACGAUAAUGAUCUAGAACAAGUGCGAAGACUAGGUAAGCAUUUUCAUGUUCCAUCCAUCUUUUAUGGAGUCAAAUUUUAUGCAUCAAAUACAAAUUAUUCUCCCUUCCCUGAAAACCUAACAUUCAGAAGUCAAGUUGAAGUCAUAGUAAAGAAAAACCCUAAACAAGAAGAUAGGUGCAUCGAGAGCUUGGAUAUAUGAUAAUCAAUUGGAGAGCUGGCAAGAAAAAUACCUAGCAGAAUUCAAUCAUACAAGAUUCAUCUAAAACUAAAAGAGGUGUCACCGAAAGUGGAAAAAAAAGAGGAAAUUUAUGAUAAAAAAUCCAUUUAUCACUAAUUUCAGAGAUUUCGUUACUUAUUCUUUCAAAGGCGACUACCUUUCUCUCUUCAAAAAGAUACAAAGAUACUCUCCUAACUCCAUUUCUGAUCAUCUGCUUUGGAGAUCGGUUAGCUCCAAAGCUCUUCAGGAAGGAGUUUAUACAGAGAUUUCAACAUUGGAGGUAUGAUUUCAGCAUAAGCAAAACUUAUGUGGAAAUGCUGCAUUCCAGACCAGGUCAUAUUUGUCAAUUGUUAGCAGUUCACUAUCCAAUUCUCACAGCACAAAAUCUUAGAACAAGGAGUUCAACAGCAUCAAACUUCUGUGUUCUUUGCAAUCUGCAUAAUAAAAUGGUGUAUCAUCUUAAUCUUCAUUGCAGAUUUACUUGAGCUACUGCAAAAAGAUAGGCAAGGGUUUUAGGAUAGUGGAACUUCCUUAGACAGCAAAGGAAUUAUGGACAUCUAGUAGGAAAAGAGAAAUCAGUAACAAAUGGAAUUAUGAUCGAGCAAGUCAAGUUCCUAGCCACUGACUGGACAAGGUUUCCCAAUCACAAUCCUUCAGGAGUUCAGACCUACUUCUUAUACUUNN
rnacentral:lncRNA from 1 species